UACGUAGGGUGCAAGCGUUAAUCGGAAUUACUGGGCGUAAAGCGUGCGCAGGCGGUGAUGUAAGACAGUUGUGAAAUCCCCGGGCUCAACCUGGGAACUGCAUCUGUGACUGCAUCGCUGGAGUGCGGCAGAGGGGGAUGGAAUUCCGCGUGUAGCAGUGAAAUGCGUAGAUAUGCGGAGGAACACCGAUGGCGAAGGCAAUCCCCUGGGCCUGCACUGGACGCUCAUGCACGAAGGCGUGGGGAGCAAACAGG
rnacentral:rRNA from 1 species